GCAAAGGGAUGUUAGCCGUCGACAUUUUCCCCAGAUGUUCUAAUUAUGUUUCAUUGUUAGACGUUUGAUCUGGACUCAAGCUGUAGGCCUACCAGUCAGAUGAUUAACUCAGUGGAGGAGGAGGACAUUGCGGAUAUCAGGGCCUACUUUUCCACAACAAAAUGGAACCGCCUCUGUAUGGCAGAGAAAAAAAGAUUCCUGCAGAUCAAGGAAAACCAUUUGGUUAUGUCGUCUCUUGGCCUGUCCUUUGUGGCUCCAGCCUUCAUGAGGAGAGAGAAGCCCGGCCAGGUGAGAGUCUGCUCACCUGAAGAGACGGACUAUGAGGAGGAGCAGCUCUGGACCUCUGGAUUGACCGGUGCUCGAGUGUGGAAGCCACCAACAGUCAGACAGGGGUCUCUACAACAGCCCAGUACGUCAGAUGCAGUGUCUGUACAGGUAUAAAACAGCACACAUCACCUUCAGCAGCCUUACC